rnacentral:rRNA from 1 species
CGCUGGCGGCACGCCUAACACAUGCAAGUCGAACGAAGUAGCAAUACUUAGUGGCAGACGGGUGAGUAACAUGUAGGUAUCUACCCUAUGGCCUGGAAUAACACGAGGAAACUUGUGCUAAUACCGGAUAAGUCUUUACGGAGAAAGCUUUAUGCACCAUUGGAUGAGCCUGCAUUUGAUUAGUUUGUUGGUGGGGUAAUGGCCUACCAAGACUGUGAUCAAUAGCUGAUUUGAGAGGAUGAUCAGCCACAUUGGGACUGAGACACGGCCCAAACUCCUACGGGAGGCAGCAGUGGGGAAUCUUGCACAAUGGAGGAAACUCUGAUGCAGCGAUGCCGCGUGAGUGAAGAAGGCCUUUGGGUUGUAAAGCUCUUUCGUCGGGGAAGAAAAUGACUGUACCCGAAUAAGAAGGUCCGGCUAACU